AACGGACUUCUUAAAGGCGAAUCAUUUCCUAAUGCAUAAGCGCACCUAUUACAAACAACGCUCCACUUCAUUAUUAUGCCUUGGGAGAAAAGGCUUCGCAAAAAGGGGACGUGAGGUUCACGUGAUGGGAGGAGAAUGUGAGUAAAAAACCAAAAGUCUAACUCUUAAUUGGGCGAAGUUUUUAUUUAAUGAAUUUCCUUCCAUUCCAUCCCUUGAGUUCAUUUCAACAUGAACGGACAGAUCUUCUCCGGCGUGUGAGCAAAGAAACAACCACGUCGGCGUCAACAAGUACUGUCCUUCCAUGGCUGAGUAUGGUAAUGCACUGGAUCAAGCCAAGAGGCCAACACAUUGCGCGCACUCAAACGCGUCACCUUUCUUGCAAUUCCCCUUUCAGCAAAUAUGUCUUUCAAUGGGUAAAAAUGUUUAAUUUCUAUUAAUGUUGUUUAGAAUCUUUCUUUUUCUUUUGAAUGUAGUGUUUUCUCUCUUUGAUUAACUUUUUUAUUUUUCUCUUCAAUGCUUUAUUUUGUAGGUUUCUGUUUUUAUUACACAAGAAGAAGAAGACUGAUGUGUAAAGGCCAGCAAUACAGCACUCUCCAUGUCAAAUUAAUUGAACUAUAGCGCUAAAAAUUGGUAAUUUCUAUUAAGGUGAGAAUAUUUCAGUCCUUUGAUUUGCAUGAUUUUUUAAGUUGUCUCUUUAUUUUGAUCUAUAAUGUGUCGUGUAUGUGUUUUGUAGUAAAUUUGCUCAAAU
rnacentral:lncRNA from 1 species